AUUCGUCACACUAUCAUUAACUGAAUCCAUAGGUUAAUGAGGCGAACCGGGGGAACUGAAACAUCUAAGUACCCCGAGGAAAAGAAAUCAACCGAGAUUCCCCCAGUAGCGGCGAGCGAACGGGGAGGAGCCCAGAGCCUGAAUCAGUGUGUGUGUUAGUGGAAGCGUCUGGAAAGGCGCGCGAUACAGGGUGACAGCCCCGUACACAAAAAUGCACAUACUGUGAGCUCGAUGAGUAGGGCGGGACACGUGGUAUCCUGUCUGAAUAUGGGGGGACCAUCCUCCAAGGCUAAAUACUCCUGACUGACCGAUAGUGAACCAGUACCGUGAGGGAAAGGCGAAAAGAA
rnacentral:rRNA from 1 species